ACGAUAACGGCGUCGAGCGGCGGACGGGUGAGUAAUGCCUAGGAAAUUGCCCUGAUGUGGGGGAUAACCAUUGGAAACGAUGGCUAAUACCGCAUGAUGCCUACGGGCCAAAGAGGGGGACCUUCGGGCCUCUCGCGUCAGGAUAUGCCUAGGUGGGAUUAGCUAGUUGGUGAGGUAAGGGCUCACCAAGGCGACGAUCCCUAGCUGGUCUGAGAGGAUGAUCAGCCACACUGGAACUGAGACACGGUCCAGACUCCUACGGGAGGCAGCAGUGGGGAAUAUUGCACAAUGGGCGCAAGCCUGAUGCAGCCAUGCCGCGUGUGUGAAGAAGGCCUUCGGGUUGUAAAGCACUUUCAGUCGUGAGGAAGGUAGUGUAGUUAAUAGCUGCAUUAUUUGACGUUAGCGACAGAAGAAGCACCGGCUAACUCCGUGCCAGCAGCCGCGGUAAUACGGAGGGUGCGAGCGUUAAUCGGAAUUACUGGGCGUAAAGCGCAUGCAGGUGGUUUGUUAAGUCAGAUGUGAAAGCCCGGGGCUCAACCUCGGAAUUGCAUUUGAAACUGGCAGACUAGAGUACUGUAGAGGGGGGUAGAAUUUCAGGUGUAGCGGUGAAAUGCGUAGAGAUCUGAAGGAAUACCGGUGGCGAAGGCGGCCCCCUGGACAGAUACUGACACUCAGAUGCGAAAGCGUGGGGAGCAAACAGGAUUAGAUACCCUGGUAGUCCACGCCGUAAACGAUGUCUACUUGGAGGUUGUGGCCUUGAGCCGUGGCUUUCGGAGCUAACGCGUUAAGUAGACCGCCUGGGGAGUACGGUCGCAAGAUUAAAACUCAAAUGAAUUGACGGGGGCCCGCACAAGCGGUGGAGCAUGUGGUUUAAU
rnacentral:rRNA from 1 species